AGAGUUUGAUCCUGGCUCAGGAUGAACGCUAGCGACAGGCUUAACACAUGCAAGUCGAGGGGCAGCGGGGGUGAUGGCUUGCCAUCACCUGCCGGCGACCGGCGCACGGGUGAGUAACACGUAUGCAACCUGCCCGCCACAGGGGGAUAAGCGGAAGAAAUUCCGUCUAAUACCGCGUGACGCGGCGUCGGGGCAUCCCGGUGCCGCCAAAGGGAUUACCGGUGGCGGAUGGGCAUGCGGCGCAUUAGCUAGUCGGCGGGGUAACGGCCCACCGAGGCGACGAUGCGUAGGGGUUCUGAGAGGAAGGUCCCCCACACUGGUACUGAGACACGGACCAGACUCCUACGGGAGGCAGCAGUGAGGAAUAUUGGUCAAUGGGCGGGAGCCUGAACCAGCCAAGUCGCGUGAGGGAUGACGGUCCUACGGAUUGUAAACCUCUUUUGCCGGGGAGCAAGCGUGCGUUCGUGAACGCGCGUCGAGAGUACCCGGAGAAAAAGCAUCGGCUAACUCCGUGCCAGCAGCCGCGGUAAUACGGAGGAUGCGAGCGUUAUCCGGAUUUAUUGGGUUUAAAGGGUGCGUAGGCGGGAUGCCAAGUCAGCGGUAAAAAUGCGGUGCUCAACGCCGUCGAGCCGUUGAAACUGGCGUUCUUGAGUGGGCGAGAAGUAUGCGGAAUGCGUGGUGUAGCGGUGAAAUGCAUAGAUAUCACGCAGAACUCCGAUUGCGAAGGCAGCAUACCGGCGCCCUACUGACGCUGAGGCACGAAAGCGUGGGUAUCGAACAGGAUUAGAUACCCUGGUAGUCCACGCAGUAAACGAUGAAUGCUAACUGUCCGGUGCGAGUGAGCGCUGGGCGGUACAGCGAAAGCGUUAAGCAUUCCACCUGGGGAGUACGCCGGCAACGGUGAAACUCAAAGGAAUUGACGGGGGCCCGCACAAGCGGAGGAACAUGUGGUUUAAUUCGAUGAUACGCGAGGAACCUUACCCGGGCUCAAACGCAGGAUGACGGGUCCCGAAAGGGGCCUUUCUUCGGACAUUCUGCGAGGUGCUGCAUGGUUGUCGUCAGCUCGUGCCGUGAGGUGUCGGCUUAAGUGCCAUAACGAGCGCAACCCCUGUCCACAGUUGCCAGCAGGUAAAGCUGGGGACUCUGUGGAGACUGCCGGCGCAAGCUGCGAGGAAGGCGGGGAUGACGUCAAAUCAGCACGGCCCUUACGUCCGGGGCGACACACGUGUUACAAUGGCAGGUACAGCGGGAUGCCACGGGGCGACCCGGCGCUGAACCCGAAAACCUGUCUCAGUUCGGAUUGGAGUCUGCAACCCGACUCCAUGAAGCUGGAUUCGCUAGUAAUCGCGCAUCAGCCACGGCGCGGUGAAUACGUUCCCGGGCCUUGCACACACCGCCCGUCAAG
rnacentral:rRNA from 1 species